rnacentral:lncRNA from 1 species
AAAAGUAGCGCUGCAGCCGACCGAACCGCGUCCUCCCGCCCCGUCCUCCCCUCCCCCACGCCGGGACGGCCUCCCGGGGGAGGCCCCGAGGAAAAAAAUCCAGGCUCGAACUCCGCCCCCUGCCGGCCGCCAGCAGGAGUGAAGCGCCACAAUCCAACAAUGAAAUGGAACCGGGGAGGGGCGGCGGGAAGGUGCGGGUCAGGGGGCGGGGCCUAGGGAUAGGGAGAAGGAAGGUCAGGGGGCGGGGCCAAGAGGAGGAACUAGCCUGGAGGUGGGGCGGAAGGUAGGGGCGGGGGCAAGGCUGGAAACCGGAAGCUGCCCGUGCCGCGCCGCGCGUGCGCCAGAAAUCCAAUGACUUGUCAGCCAGAGUAACGGCUGUUGUCAGGUCUUCAGGGUCUCGAGGUCGGUUUCUUCCUAACGCCGCCAACCCCAAGCUAAGGUAGACAUGAUCGCCAAGGCAGCUGAUUGUCCCAAGGAAUAAGUAUGAGCAAUGAGCACAGAGGGAAAAUCAUGAAACAUCUGAGGACCAUGAGAACUGCUAAAACAAUACGUAGAACUAGCUAUACCAGAGAAAGUCAAGUGAAUGGAUCAGACAAUAAGAAUUGAAAAUAAGCUUAAUAGAGCUUCAGAGAAAGAAGGGAGAAUGUUGGAAACACAAAGCACAAACAAGCAUUUGUGAAUUGGAUGUUGACAAAUAUUAAUGAAAUAACUCAAUGGAUGGGUUGAAUAUAGCUGGACAGUUCACUCAUGAACCGGAAGAUUAGAGCAAGGAAGGAACUAAGAAAUGGAAAGCAUGAAAGGAGAGUUAAGAAAUGUGGAAGGUAGAAGCAUAAAUAUUUUUCUAAUGGAAAUUCCAGAAGGGGAAAAAAAGAACAUGUGAAAGAAUUAUUGCUGAGAAUUUCCCAGAAUUGAAGACAUACUUUAGAAUGAAAAAGGCCAACUCUAACUUUGGGAUUUCUAGCUUCAGAGAAAUGAAAAUUUAGAAUGACCAAGGGGA